rnacentral:sRNA from 1 species
ACCACCGUGCAUCUCUUCAACUGCAAUUUCAAGGCGAAGACAAUUUCGCCUACUUAUUACCAUUAUAUUGUUCCAGACAGUCAUCCCGUCAUUGGACAUGCCUUGAUCAAAAAACAAGAGAACUUAUUAAAUGCUUGGUGAUACUACUUGUAGGUAGUAGUACUUUUGCAAUUUCGACCCCCGUUUCGACGAGAAUCAGAUUUCGACGAAAUCAACCACCUGAGCUUUCGUUCUAAGGUUUGCUUACUGGCGUAGCCCAGAUUGAGGUACAUCACUGGAUCAAAAAUCGAGCAUGAGGAUGCUGAUAUCAAACGAACA